GUGGGGAAUAUUGGACAAUGGGGGCAACCCUGAUCCAGCAAUGCCGCGUGAGUGAUGAAGGCCUUCGGGUUGUAAAGCUCUUUUGCCAGGGACGAUGAUGACGGUACCUGGAGAAUAAGCCCCGGCUAACUUCGUGCCAGCAGCCGCGGUAAUACGAAGGGGGCAAGCGUUGUUCGGAAUUACUGGGCGUAAAGGGCGCGUAGGCGGUCUAUCAAGUCAGGCGUGAAAUUCCCGGGCUCAACCUGGGGGCUGCGCUUGAUACUGAUGGACUUGAAUGCGGGAGAGGAUAGUGGAAUUCCCAGUGUAGAGGUGAAAUUCGUAGAUAUUGGGAAGAACACCAGUGGCGAAGGCGGCUAUCUGGCCCGUGAUUGACGCUGAGGCGCGAAAGCGUGGGGAGCAAACAGGAUUAGAUACCCGAGUAGUCC
rnacentral:rRNA from 1 species